rnacentral:rRNA from 1 species
UAGGGGGCGAGCGUUGUCCGGAUUUACUGGGCGUAAAGCGCGUGUAGGCGGCUGCUUAAGUCGGGUGUGAAAGCCCGGGGCUCAACCCCGGGAUGCCGCCCGAGACUGGGCGGCUUGAGGUCGGAAGAGGGGAGUGGAAUUCCAGGUGUAGCGGUGAAAUGCGUAGAGAUCUGGAGGAACACCCGUGGCGAAGGCGGCUCCCUGGUCCGAUUCUGACGCUGAGACGCGAAAGCGCGGGGAGCGAACGGG